rnacentral:lncRNA from 1 species
ACAGGGGUGCUUCCCAUCUGAGGCUCCCUGGCUUUGCACACACAUGUCAGACUUGGUGAUACCAUAUGCUAGUUAUUUACCAAGUGUGCACCAAGCGUUACGCUUCUGUGAUGAAAACAAUGGAAAGCGAAGACCUUCCCUUCCCAGUGCAUCUCACUGAACCGUGGGGUGCUAGUCUGGCCUCCUGGUUUUCCUUUCUCUGUCUUUUUUUUUUUUUUUUAAUUUUUAUGCUUGCUUGUCAGAGACCUGAUUUCCUUUGACUUGCUUCUGAUAUGUUAUUGCACACACUCUGAACUCCUGACCUCAAGUGAUCCACCUGCGUCAGCCUCCCAAGAUGCCGAGAUUACAGGCAUGAGCCACCGGGCCUGGCUGUACAGGAAAAAGGUUUAAUGGACUUACUCUUCCACAUGGCUGGGGAGGCCUCACAAUCACGGUGAAAGGCAAGGAGGAGCAAAUCAUGUCUCACAUGGAUGGCAGCAGGCAAACAGAAAGAGCUUGUGCUCCCCUUUUCAAAAUGAUCAGAUCUCAUGAGACUUAUUCACUCCCCUUUUUAAAACUAUCAGAUCUCAUGAGACUUAUUCACUGUCAUGAGGACAGCAUGGGAAAGACCCAUCCCCAUGACUCAAUUACCUUCUACUGGGUCCCUCCCACAACAUGUGGGAAUUCAAGAUGAGAUUUGAGUGGGAACACAGCCAAACCAUAUCAGCAGGGCUCAAGAGAUAUUUGUUGAGUGAAUAAAUGACCUGGUUUGUGAAUUUCCACAGUUACUUACUUCCCUAUUCAUUUUCUCAAAUUGCAAUAUGGAGAAUUCUCUGCUUCCCUCAUGGGAUGAUAGUUUAUAUGUGACAGAGCUUUGUGCCUGGAGUGACUGUUUUCACUAAGGAUAACCGAGCAGCCCGUGACCCCCCCAAGACCAGCCACGUCACCCUCACUGGGAGUUUGCAGAACAGCAGCGCCUCCCACCGAGGCCACCAGUCAGUAUCUGCAUCCGCUAAUACCUGCAGGGAGGCGUGCACCACCCCCAGCCCAGAGGCUCCGUCUCGGAGGGAAAGUUCCCUUGAGGGAGCAGGGAGGCCUGCAGUCAGCAUGUGAGCCCUCCGGGCUGUUCUGCAAAGCUGGCCAGGAGGGCUGGGCUCAUGGGGCCAGGCCAUUAUCUCUCAUCCCCCGGUUUACACUUUCCCCACAUUCCUCCCAG